rnacentral:lncRNA from 1 species
AGGGCGGGCUUCCGCAGUCUCCCGGGCUUUUCUUCCUCUGCGACUGGGCUACUCCUUCUCCAGCGCCCUAGUUCUCUGCCUCAGGGACCCAGGUGACUCUCGCUCCCUGUGAACCCCGCAAUUUCGGGUGAUGGGAUGUUCCUCAAAGGAUCCCCGGUCACCACGGAAGCCAACAAUGGUGAGUUUGUGACCAGGGCUGAAGGUACAGAGUCACCAUCAGCUUUGGGGCCAGCAGCACGGAUUAGCUCCCCGCUGGCGGGUGGCCCUGGGCCCUGUCCCCUGGUUCCCUGGGUUUGGAAGGGUGGCUCAGGUCCCUGGUGUCCCCUUUGCUCCCUACUGGUGGCCCGACCCACUCUUCCCAACGUGUAGGAAACAGGGCCACAAAUGCACCUUCCUUCUCCCAGUGGAACUCCUCAGGAGGCUGCUGUAGGUCCUCCAAAUUGCAGGCGCCUCCUGCCUUCUAAAAGCCACCUUCCCUCCACCUCACAGCUGGGCCAGACGUUCGUUCUUCCCACUCGGUUCAAAUGGACACCGUCCACUAAUUUUCAUUAGUACUUAGUGAAAUAUUGGAAAGAAUCUUCCUUCCUCCCUCCCUCC